rnacentral:rRNA from 1 species
AGCCUACGGGAGGCAGCAGUGAGGAAUAUUGGUCAAUAAAAAAAAAAAAAAAAAAAAAAAAACACCAAAAAAAAAACGGCCCUACGGGUUGUAAACCUCUUUUGUCGGGGAGCAAAGAGAGUCACGUGUGACUCAUUGAGAGUACCCGAAGAAAAAGCAUCGGCUAACUCCGUGCCAGCAGCCGCGGUAAUACGGAGGAUGCGAGCGUUAUCCGGAUUUAUUGGGUUUAAAGGGUGCGCAGGCGGAGGUGCAAGUCAGCGGUCAAAUUGCGGGGCUCAACCCCGUACUGCCGUUGAAACUGCAUC